UACGUAGGAGGCAAGCGUUAUCCGGAAUGACUGGGCGUAAAGGGUGCGCAGGCGGCGUGUCAAGCAAGCGGUAAAAUAGCGGGGCUCAACCCCGUCGAGCCGUUUGAACUGGCGCGCUUGAGUUCAGGCGAGGUAGGCGGAAUUCGUGGUGUAGCGGUGAAAUGCAUAGAUAUCACGAAGAACUCCGAUUGCGAAGGCAGCUUACCAGUCUGCGACUGACGCUCAGGCACGAAAGUGUGGGUAUCGAACAGG
rnacentral:rRNA from 1 species